UUUUGCGGCAACGUAUCAUACAUGCAUUUCAGCUCUGAUGCUCUUAUACUGGGUAGGGUGCCUCAGAUUGAAUUACAAAAAAUGAUCAUUUCUAGUGUGUUUCUUUGUGACUUACAUUUUAGGUUAGGAGAUCUAUUUUCUGCAAAGGCAAAACUAUAAAUUUUGUUAGAAAAACUGUAAGAAUACUAUAUAUUUAGGUUUUAAUUUCACAAGAUUACAUUGAUAUUGCUGGCAUGCUGCUUACCUAGAGUGGAGCUUUUUUACGGUACCCUAGUACUCCAAAAAAGGUGAGGUAGUACCUAUUAAAUCUGACUGGCCAUUUGCUAGGGAUAGUAUGGACUUUUCCGAUUUCCCCUUGAAGUUAGGUGGUAGGGAGUUCGUUAACCAUGAUCCCACCAUUUACGCACGCCGCCUCAUCGUUUUCAUCGCAAGCUAUCUUCUGCGUUAUCAACAAUCUUCGGCGUAUCCAUCCUCUUGACCACGAUGCCACGGAGCUGUUGUUGGGGCACUCGUCACUGCAGCUGGAGGUCAUCUUCUCAGGCGGGCGGGCGUGGCUACUGCGGCUUAGGCGGACUUAGCACGGUCCAAAGAGGCUAGGACUGCCACGGCCCUGCACGUCACAAUGCGAUGUGGUGCUGCACUGCUGCCGACCGGCAUGCCAUGUGGCAUGCCAACGGAGUUUAUCAUGCACUGCUUACCGACAUAGAUGCUUACUUUGUGUAGAAGGCCAAUCAUAAUAGAUGUUUGUGAAGCAAAUAAAUAUAUUUUUCUUGUUGGUUCUGUGUUAGGGAGUUACAAGUUGUUUGAAUCGAGAUGUAUCGCUCUGUACGACGCAAACCGUCUGCUUGAUGUAUCUUUUGUCAAGUGUUUGUUUGAUCCAGUUUUGGCUGCGGAUCAAGCUGCCGGUCAGGUGUUUGGCCCAGGCGUUGACUUCUACUGUGUGUCUGCCAGUCGCAUCAUCCCCUGGCUUGGUUAGCCGCCCAGUCAGUGUCAGUGACGCACCACCUCGCGGUGCUCCUCAGAUUACGUUUAUGUCGAGAUGCGGCCUGCAGCAACAGCCGGUGUGUUAAUAAAGCUCUGUUAAAUCUAUCCAUCCGGCCAAUUUGGAUGAUCGUUGUGACUAGUGCACGGUUGUUAUGAUUUUUGGAUUCUCGGUCUAGCCAACGGAAGCUCGGAAUUCUCUUGUAAGUGUAACGAGGAGCAGUUAAGGUUUUGCCAACGGAUCAGCAGGAUUUCCUCUUGUAGCGAGGUGCAAUUAAGUUAUGUAUGUGUGCACAUCAAUGGGCAUUUAACAUAUGAGUAACAGAAGUUUUUUGUGCUAUGGAUGUGGGAGGAUACAUAACAAAUCAACUCAAGGAAGCGAAGUGGUCUUGUAUUUUUGGAAAUUUCAGAUUUGGGAUUUGGCCUUGUAUUCCAGAAGGAGAGAGUACAUCUUGAAAUGUCAAUAUGUAAA